rnacentral:tRNA from 1 species
GGAAGCGCAUCCGUUUCUGGCGAUCGGCCCGGUCUUCAAAACCGGUGUGGGGCACCCCACGGUGUCCUGGGCAGGUUCGAUUCCUGUGCGCUUCCGCCA